ACAUCCUCUUGAUAUAAUUCUGUCCCGGAGUGGAGUUGAGGAGGCUAUAAAAUGUGUGGGAAAACCUCAGAAAUCUUUAGCUGCAUUCUUUUACUGCACUGACAGUGCACGUAUUAUGAUAGUUGAAUGUAGGGUGCUCUCCUAAUAACAGGAUAUGCCGUCUCGAGCUUCCCAGACUUAGCGUGCUGCUGCUGGACCUUAGAGAAUUUAGUUAAAUAAAAAGUGUCCCCGCCUAUUCCUGUUUCUGCCCUGUCAAUGAAAUUUUAGUCUUUAUAACCUUUCCAAGUAGGCUGGAGUUUAACAUCCCAACAGUUCAGGAGACUGAUUUUCUCCAUUGUAAAUUCUGUGGAAGUUCUGGAGAAUAAUUUCAUCACUACCACCCAGCAGUAUGCAAUCUAGAAAUUUCAGCUUUCCCUAUACUUAAAAGAGAUGUGUGUGCAACAUUUUUCUCCGUCCUCUUAGCCCCCCACUUCCUGUUCCCCUCACCCUGAGUGAUAUUACAGCUCCUAAUUAGAACUCUCUUCUAAGAAAAACUGCAAGACAUCAAGCCACUAAGCCUGUUUACAUUUGCUAAUGGGUAUGCAUGUCUUUUUAUAUUAAUAUUUUUCCUAAGUAUUUUCAGAUUGUUGCUUUCAGAUUUAUUGCUUCCUCCUUAAAAUAUAGCUGCCCUGAAAGCAGCUGUAUUUUAUCUAUUUUUUGUAUUUCCCCACAGAUCUGAAUAAUCCAGGGCUUUUCUCACAGAUGACACUCAGUGUGGACUAAUUGAUAAUGUAUAAUUUUAUAGCAGCUAUUUUCUGAGUUUUAAAAAACUGUUAUUUUAUUUCUGUUAGUCUUUCAGACACUGGAAAACAUUUCUAUUUUAUUGGCAUUUUUCUUUUCAAUAAAGCAUUGGUUUUUUAAAAUCAUUUAUUUUUAUUAAACUGCUAAACAUACUAUGUUAGGUUCCGUACAUGAUUAAACCAAAACAUAAAGGUCUUGCCAAUCUAAUGUAUUUACAUGCUUAUUUUCUUUGAUUAGAUUAUAAGCUUUCUGAGGUCAGAGACAUUAAAUCUUGACAAUUCUAUUUUUUCCUGUUAUAAACAGCAAGUAAAUCACCUUGCAUGUAUAGUACUUUAGUAAUGAUUUUAUAUUAUCUUAUUGCAGCGGUGUCUACUGUUUCCUCUUAUCUUUUAUCCAGAUGAGCAAAUGACAGUUUUGGUCAUAAUGUAGUUACCCCAGAUGUAUUUGUGCUACAGCUUUUAUUUUUUAAAUGCUCUUUUGUUAGAGUAGUAGUUUAUAAGACUUAUUUGGGGAUGGGGGUCAGUUGCUUCAGACUCAGGUGGCUUUCCAACUUGUAAAUACAAUUUUCAGGCUGGAUGAUUAGCAUGCAUCAAGCAUCCCUUCCUAUGAACUCUAAAUAAAGCAGAUUUAUUGCAUAUUCUGUGGCCCUCUGUUUUAGCACAUUGGAAGCCUUAGACUCAAAUAGCAGUGAAAGGAUAGUUAUUACUGAGCUCAGAAGUCUUCCCUGCCAAAGGUAGAAUGUAAUGUGUUCUCUGGUAAUAGGAUUAUUUUGUUUGACCAGGUGACACUGUUUAUUUCUUAUGAAAAAUUUUGAUAUACAGCUUUAAAAUUUAGUAAGAUGGAUGCAUAAUUUAUACAGUGAAAUUUGAAAGGUUUUUCAAAAUGAUAAGGCCAAACCUAAGCUAAACGAGGGGGUAGGCAUUCUUUAUAAUAAAGCUGUUAUACUCUGCCCAGCUAGGCCAGUUAUCCCUAGAUGCUACAGAUUAAUGGGGCAAUCUGUGUUAUGUAACAUUUGUUCUAUAUUAUUCUGCCUCUAAUGAGGUGAAUCAAAGACGAUGUCAGUUUUAAUUCUGGAUGCCCUUGCUUCAGUGUAGUAUAAUACAUAGGUACAGCCUUUUUUAGUAGUUUUCAGAUGGCUUCUUUAUGUUUUUAUAUUGAAGAACCAGUAACUUCCCAUUGGCCUAUAAGGUUAGCAAUUGAUUAUUUAUAGCAAAUGGCUUGAAAUGUUAGAUCAUCAGUAUUUGUCAGUAAACCUGUAAUAACUUGUUUCCCUAGCCCUUAACUUAGUGUUGAAGAAAAAAAUUGUGGUAUUCAUUGAUAGGACUUAGAAAGCACAGAAAUUAUUUAUUAUUUAAGAUUUGUUCUACAAAUUGAUAUUUAAAGUAAAACAUUUUUAGUUACUGAACACCAUUCUGUAAAUGACAGUAUUUUAUCCUGAGUAUAUGGUCUGAAAUGACUUAAGGACAACUUUUUAAAGCAAAUAACUAAUUACAAAAUUGGGUCUUCCAAUUUAUUUCAAAUUAGAUGCUUUUGUACAAAUAUUCUUGGUUAGAAAUAGUCAUAUAAAUACACUGUUGGACAUGUUCUCAUUGAUCUCCACGCCUCAGUUCCUUCUACAUGAGUCAUGGGCUUGAGGUUACCCAGAAAUGGACUGUGAACCUAUAAACCCCAGCAUGCAUGUGGUAUUGCAUUGAGCAUGUUCUGUGAUUCCCUUCUACUCUUGUUACAGCUUUAUUCAUUGAAUCAAUGUGCAUUAUUUGCUGUGUGUGCUCAGGUAAUAUUUUUCUUUUUUUUUUGUUUGAAUAUCAGUUUGGGCUUAGUUACUUUUUAAAAUAAGGAUGUUUCAGAUAGUCUCUGCCACACUUUGCCUAGCCUGGUUAAUUGUGGGUGGACCCAUGCUACAUGUUUUGGCAUUGCCUUUUUCUUAUCUGUACCAUAUUACAAACUUCCUAGUAAUUUGACAUUCACUGCUGUCUUUGCUUUAGCUUUCCGACAGGUUUGGUGAAACAGUCCAUUGCUGUUCAAUAUCAGCUUGCAUCAGAAUUACUUGGAGGGCUUAUUGAUUAAAACACAGAUUACUGGGCCCUGCAAAAAAAGUUUCUGAUUCAGUAGGUCUGGGGUGGAACAUGAGAAUGUGCUUUUUCCCCCACAGUUCCCAAGUACUGCUGAUGCUGCUCCUCUAGGCCCAUGCUUUCAGAAUCACAGAGCUCAUCUUACAUUCUUUUCCUGCUAGAUAUUAUGCCCAUUUAAUACAUGAAGUAAAACAGAAAAAUCCUUAACUUAAAAACAUGUAUUAAUCCAGAAGUUUGAUUAUAAAAAGGUUUGUUGAAAAUGUGAGACCAUUUUUUCUCCCAGAGAAAAAGUAUAUUAAUUGUCUAGCUGGGAGGGGCAUAUUUGAAUGUGUUUUCAGAGAAAAGCAGAAGAAAAAAAUACGGUUGUAAUAGAAGUAGUUAAAACAGAAAAGCAGUAUGGUUGUAGAGUGGGGUGGUGGGGAGGUAUAUGUGUAUUUAAUCUUGAGAACCAAUGCUUUUGGAAAACAGCCCAAAGGGACAAGAGACUAGGUAGAGACUGGGGAGGUUCCUGAAAGUCCUGGGUUACCUAUGAAAUGCCAAAGAUUUUUAAAGUUUGCUGGCAGUGGUUAUUAUAUGUAGUUUUACUUCCAAAUUUGAAGAUUUCCUCUUCUUUGAUUCAAGUGUGUUGGUAGGACCACUGGUAAUAGUUAGUAGAGAUAUUUGUGGGAAUAUAUUUUUAAUCAGAAAGAAUGCAAAAAGAGGGGGAGACAUUUCUUUGAGACACCUUAAUGACACUGGGAACAGUAGAAGGUGGAAAGAGAUCAGAGUGUGGGAAAGAUGUGCCUGAGAUGAAAUUAUCUGAAUUCUGAAUGUGGGGGAGAAGAUGAGGAGAGGGUUGAGGGGGAGGAGAGAUGACUAAGCUCCUCACAGUGUUUCAUUAACUGUCUUUUACCUAAAGGAGGAAUCUUCUUAAUGAAGAUUGGUUGAUGCAUCAUUACUGGUCAUCAAGUAAGUUCUUAUAAAUGCAAGUUUGAUUGUUUUGAAGGGAAGGAUAUAGGAAGGCUGGAUAAUCAGCUACAUUUAGAUAUGGAACGCUACAGGAUGUCUGCAUUUAUUGUUGUAAAUUCGUCUGGUGAAAAACGUUAUCACUUCUUUGUGACUAGCCUGGGCAAUAUAGUGAGACCUUGUCUCUAAAAAAAAUUUUUUUAAUAAGAAAAAUUAGCCAGGCAUAGUAGUGUGCCUGUAGUGCCCCCCACCACCCUGGACACGCCCCCACUUCCAAAGAAACAAACACCCAACUCACUUCUGCCUUUUCCUUGGAUUCUACACUUUCUCUCAGGAUAUCUUUCUGAUUGAGUCUUGCCUCAUUUAUGUGAAUGCUGUGUCUGUUCUUUUUUUCAACAGAGUCUUACGUAAAGAACCGUACAAACUUAGUAAAGAGUUUAAGUCCUGCUUUAAACCAAGUUCCAGUUCAUGUAAACAUCCUACACUCAGCUGUAAUACAUGGAUUGGCUGGGAGGUGGAUGUUUACUUCAGCUGACUUGGAAUAUCAACCAAUUAACAUUGAUAAAAGAUUUGGCAAGAAUAGUAUACAGAGGCUUGAAUUUUUAAUGUAAUUAAUGUAAUUAAAGGUUUGUUGGAAAUGUGAGACCAUUUUGUUCUCCCAGAGAAAAAGUGUGUUAAUUGUCUAGCUGGCAGGGAUCUACUUGAAUAUGUUUGCAGAGAAAAGCAGAAGAAAGCAUGGUUGCAGUAGGAGUAGUUAAAACAGAAAAACAGUAUGCUUAUAGAGGAAAAAUUACCCUAAAUUUAUUAAAAAUUUAUUAAAAUUCCUUUCAAUUUGUUACUCAAUUUAAAUUUUUAUUGUAUCUUUUCAAUUUUGCUAUAGCACUAACAUGACAUAAGGCUCUGGGUAUUGGGACAAAAGAAUGCCCUUGUUUGGUAGUUGGGGUCGGGUUUGUAGUAUUGCAGUGUGCUUUAACAAGCAUGGGCUUUGACAUCAGACAUUUGUUGCCAUCUGGACUCCACAAGUGAAUUUGCUAAGGGAUUUGGAGGAGGGAAAGGCACUGUUUCCAUACCUCAGUGGUUUUCUCAUCUGCAAAAUAGGUAUGUGAUUGCAUGGAUUGACUUAUAUGAUGAAUAUAAAGUUGUUCAUUAGUACAGUACCUGUCAUAUUAAGUACUCAAUAAAUGCUAGUUAUUAAUGCUGUGUUUUAGGUUUUCAGUAAAUAGUUGCCAUAAUGCUUAAAGCAGACAUAAGUUGUUUUUAUUUUAGCAAUAAAGAUGAUGCCAACUUUUUGGUUUAAUGGAAAUGCUUUGAAUCUUUGAUAUUGUUGUAAUAUAGUGGCAUAGAAUUUUGAAUCCCAGCUUCUGGAGCUCAUAUCUUGAUUCUGCGAGUUACUUCGCUAUGUUACUUUGAGGGAAGUUAUUAAUCUCUCUGUGCCUUAGUUUCCUCAGUCAACUAAAUUGAAAUUAUAAUAGCACCUACCUGAUAGGAUUGUUGAGACUAAAUGAGGUAACAAUUUAAAAAUAAGCUAAUACCUGAUAAUUAGUUCUAUAUAUGUAUUGAUUGGUCUAAACGUUAUUUCCAUUUUCAUGUCUUUACUUAAAAUACUGAAAAUUAAUUUUUUAUAGCUUUGUUUUUCAAUUCCAUGAAAUCAGCCUGCCUUUUCUUUUUUUGGUGAUGCAUCCACAUUCUGUAUAGGUAAAAAGCAAAACAAACAAGUAUAAAACGAAAAUUAUGUAAGAAGUACACACAUCCUAGCAGCUUGGCAAGUGUCUGUAUGCUCUUGCCUGUGCCUAAAUCCAGAAUUAGAAUUCAUGUUUGGUGCUCCUGUGGAAGAUGUCUAAAUGUUAUGAGAAAUACAUGAUUAAAUAAAAAUGUGAAAUGAAAGCAUGGAGACUUGUUGAAGGUUGUAAGUGAAGAUACAGAUGGCAAGAGACACAAAGACCAAAUCCCAAAGCACUUCAACAUUUAGAAGUCAGAAAAAGAAAGAAAAACUAGCAAACAAUACUGAGAAGAGGCCAAUGAAAUCAGGAAAAUCAGGAGAUGAUGGUGUCUGAAAGCCAAACAAGGAAAGGCUACCAAAAGGGAUGAAGAGAUCAACAGUGUCAAAUUCUCCUGAAAGGACUGCCCUUAUUGGACCACAGAGAGAAAGAUGAUCUCCUUCCCAGGUGCACUGAGUGGCAGCCUUGGGCCUGGACUGGUGGGUUCUUGGUGGCAGCGGGCAUUUGCUGGUGGGGGAUCCCUCAGACCAUUUUCAACUAUUAUGUCAACAGGACUUACAGCAAGUUCUUGCAAUCUUCACUCCCACGUGCAUGAAGUCUUGGGUCCAUGAUGUUCUGCCACAAUUUACAAUGACCUUCAUUAUGCAUCAUUAGCAUUUCAUUAACAUUAGCAGGGCCAUAUAGCAGUUUAAUCUAUCAGCUACUCCCUUAGGACAUCUGGCUAAUCCAUUAACUUGCAACAUAAAUUAUUGAACCCCCCUUUUAGCUGGUUAUUUAUGAGACCACUGGUCCUGACCUGCCCUUCCUGGUUUUGGCAUGGUUCCUAGUCUUCUGGAAGUCUUUGACUUACUCUUAGUAAACUUAUCUGCCCCUCGAAACUUACACAAAUAUACCAUUUCAUAAACAGACAUACAGAACUUCAAGUAAGAAAUAGGACCCCAUAUCUACCAAACCUGUCUCUUUACUAAAAUAUCCUAUU